rnacentral:rRNA from 1 species
UUAUGAUCUCAAAUCAAGUGUGACUACCCGUUGAACUUAAGCAUAUCAGUAAGCGGAGGAAAAGAAACUAAAAAGGAUUCCCUUAGUAACGGCGAGUGAAAAAGGGC